GCACCAGAAAAAACAUCCGGGCGGGCGGCUGGGACUGAACUUCCUUGGCCUCUCAGAAACGCUGAGGACAAUAUGGACCCCUUCUCUCCUGCCAGGAGCUCAGGUUUUGAGAGAGGUUCCGGUGGGAUGAGAACUUGAGACCAACUCCUGCCCACGAAAACGGGCAGACAGGACGUCAAGGGGCCUGUGUCACUGGGAAAGAUAGCAUCUCAUGGUGCUGCUCAGCCUGUCCCUAGAACUCACAAUGUAGACCAGAUGACCUCAAACUCAGAGAUCCUCUGCCUCCUGAGUACUGGAACUGAAGACAUUCUGAAGCAUGACUCAAACAAAUACCUUCAACAGCUGCUUGCUGCUGCCAUUGUUUCUCUACGCACUUACUUCUUUUUCAUCUAACUUGGAAGACACGGGGUUUGACUUGAACCAUCUAUUGCCUGGAAUCAUAUCUGUGACGAGAUAAGCACUGUUUCGAGUCAUGAGAGAAUAUGAGAUGCGGAGUGAGAAUCCUCACCAAAGCCAGGAAAUCUGGGUCUUGAUCCAGUCUUAACUACUGUGGGACGUCUAUUAAGAUAAUUUCAUUGAUGAUGUGGGCUUUUCUUCUACCAGUUAAAUGAAGGAAUACAUUCAAUAUUAAAUACUGUCUAAGGUCAUCUUGGGUAUCAACAUGCUAUAACUAGCUAACUCUUGGUGCUGUAACUUUUAUACUCUGAACAAAUAAACCAACCAAAUAAACAUAUGUUAGUUUCAAGUGACAAAAGAGAAAACUUUCGAAUCUGAAGCUAAAGCAAUAUGUUUCUGCUUUUGUCUAACAUUUAAUUAUUUAUUUUGUGUGUGUGAGUACACAUACAUGCCAUGGGAUACAGGUAGAUGUCAGAGGACAUCUUAUGGGGCUGGUUCUUUCCUUCUACCAUAUGGGC